UACGGAGGGUGCAAACGUUGCUCGGAAUUACUGGGCGUAAAGUGUGCGCAGGCGGCGUUGCAAGUCGAGUGUGAAAUCCCCGAGCUUAACUUGGGAAUUGCGCUCGAAACUACGAUGCUAGAGUGUGGCAGAGGAAGGUGGAAUUCCACGUGUAGCGGUGAAAUGCGUAGAGAUGUGGAGGAACACCGAUGGCGAAGGCAGCCUUCUGGGCCAACACUGACGCUCAUGCACGAAAGCGUGGGGAGCAAACAGG
rnacentral:rRNA from 1 species